rnacentral:lncRNA from 1 species
CGAAACAGGGUUUUUCUGUAUAGCCCUGGCUGUCCUGGAACUCACUUUGUAGACCAGGCUGGCUUUCAUCAACUUUUAAAUGAGGACAGCAAUGAAGUUGGCUAGGCUCACUCUGAUAACAUCAUUUCAAUAUUAACACCAUUCCAAAAACUUUAUCUGAAAAUAAGCUCACUUUCUGAAGCUCUACAUUAAACAGCAAUAUAAUCUUGGAUGGAGAUGAUAUAACUCAUCCCACAAUAGUACUACAUUUACACAAUGGAGUACUACUCAGCUAUUAAAAAUAAAUUUAUGAAAUUUUUAGGCAAAUGGGUAGAUAUGGAGGAUAUUAUCCUCAGUGAGGUAACCCAAUCACAAAAGAACACACAUGAUAUGCACUUACUGAUAAGUGGAUAUUAGCCCAGAAGCUCAGAAUACCCAAGAUACAAUUCGCAAAACACAUGAAACUCAAGAAGAAGGAAAACCAAAUUGUGGAUAAUUUGGUCCUUCUUAGGAAGGAGAAUAAAGUACCCAUGGAAGGAGUUACAUAGACAAAGUUCAGAGAAGAGACUGAAGGAAUGACCAUCCAGAGACUGCCACACCUGGAGAUCCAUCCCAUAAACAACCACCAAAACCAGACACUAUUGUGGAUUCCAACAAGAGCUUGCUGGCAGGAACCUGAUAUAGUUGUCUCCUGAGAGUCUCUGCCAGUGCCUGACAAAUAAAUAAGUAGAUGCUCAUAGUCAUCCAUUGGAUGUAGCACAGGAUCCCCAAUGGAGGAGCCAGAGAAAGGACCCAAAGAGGGUUUGCAGUCCCCUAGGAAGACUAACAAUAUGAACUAACCAGUAACCCCAGAGCUUCCUGGGAUUAAACUACCAAUCAAAGAAAACACAUGGUGGGACUCAGGGCUCUAGCUGCAAAUGUAGGUGAGGAUGGCCUAGUCAUUCAUCAAUGGGAAGAGAGGCCCUUGGUCCUGUGAAGGUUCUAUGCCCCAGUAUAGGGGAAUGCCAGGGCCAGGGAGCAUGAGUGGGUAGGUUGGUGAGCAAGAGGAGGUAGAGGGGCUAGGGGAUUUUCAGAGAGGAAAUUAGGAAAGGGGAUAACAUUUGAAAUGUAAAUAAAGAAAAUAUCUAAUAGAAAAAGAAAAAAGAGUGAAAUAUCUUAAUGCACUAUUAAAAGAUUAGUGUCAACCCAAUACCAGAAACCUAGUAUUACCUUAUUUAACCAUUUGUACAACCCAGUAAGGGAGGGGCCACCUCUGUUUCAGUUAAUGAUGCUUUGGAAUUUAGAAAGAUCGUAUCAUUAGGGCAAAGAGGCUGGUAAAUUGUGGGUCCAAAGUUCAGGCCAGAGUAGAAAAAUAUCUAUAUUGUACUUUUACAGAAUAUAGCUUGUGUGGCUUUUCAUGGGACAUAAUUUUCAUAUGUUAAUUUACUACUGUACUUUAGUACCCUAAAUAAUGAGCAGCACAAAUCUUACACACACACACACACACACACACACACACACACACACACACACCGCAUUGGAUAAAUAAGAAUAAGAGAAAACAUGUAACUCACGUCUGGUCAUUGAAGGAAAUGAUGCAUUCUGUCUCCAGAACAUUAAUAAUAACUUGUUUAGGACGUGGCCUUCAGAUAAAAUGAAAAAUGUUAUUGUGUACUGUCAUCAAUUACACUGUGAUAGGGCAAGAAUAUUUUAUGUGCUGCAAGACUUUCAAUUACUGGAUGCUUCCAGAGAAGGUCUAUAUCACCCAUUUGUAUUUAAAAUACAGAGAUGAGUGUAAGAGCAUUUAUGACAAGAGUGUAGUUCUUGGUCUGUCCAUGGGACACAAACCUCGCCAGGUCAUAAGAAGUCCCAUAACACCCCCAAGAAUGGAACCUGGAAAAACCAAACUCUUGUUUAAUGCUCACACUUAACUUUAAAAAAAAAAAUCAAAGCAAGGACAGACUCAUAUUAAAGAUACUAGAAAUGACUGU